GCUCCUGCACACGAUGCCGUCACCGCGCCGUUGCCGCGCUGACGCCGCACAUUUACUCUGUAGAUACGAGUCGCGUAAAGCCCGCCGCCGCGCCGCCGCCACCCCGCCUCCGCGCGCGUUUCCUCUGUUGGAUUCACUCCAUUACCGGCCGCGAACGAACGUGCACGUGCGUAACUUUUUAAGAAAUUACCAUGGAAAGUUUUGAUUACGAAACGUUUAUAACUUUAGUGGAGGACAGAGAAGUGUUAUGGGACAAAACUUUGGAAAUAUAUAAAGACAAGCGUAAAAGUUUAAAAGCUUGGUUUGAGAUCUGCCAUAUAAUGAAUGAGAACUUUGCGGAACUACCUCAUACGGAGAAAAAUAAAUACGGUAAAAUAAUAUCUCAGAAAUGGAAAAAUAUAAGAGAUGCAUGGAUGAAAUGCGACAAAAAGAUUCGUGAAUCGAAAUCUGGAUCAGGUGCAAAACCAGUACAUAAAUAUCAAUAUUAUGAUAAUUUACAAUUUUUGAAAAAAAUUACCCCACGGCCACCCCAAUCUGGAUCAAACAUGCCGGAAGAAAAAAAAUCUGAAGAGUCUAAUGUCACCAAAAGAAAGAAAAACGAAGAAAUAAACCCCGUAGAUAAGAAAAUGAUUAAGUUUAUGGAAUCGUUAGAAAAAGAUGACGAUAGUAGAAUGAUGUCUUUUUUUAAAGGUAUAGCUCCUAGCGUGGAACGCUUCAAAGACGAAGACAUUGUUGAAUUCCAGUAUCAAGUAUUGAAUAUUAUAAGAAAUAUUCAAUAUACGAGUAGAAAUAGUUAUAGCGCUCCACAUAACAGUACGAGAGUUCAAUCACAGGCUUCGAAUUAUAGCAUUGAAAAUGAUUCAUUACAAAGCAUCACAAGUCCAUCUACUUCAAGCUUGAUUGAUUUUGAUUUUUCUACAUUACAUCAGGAUAAUUAAAAAAAAUAUAUAUGUUACUUUACCUCAAUGUAACAACCAAUCUCUCCUUAGCAGAUAUACUUGCUCGCAUAUUUGUAUUUGUGUGUUGCAGUUUGUUAUUUAAUAAAUCUAAUAAUUUAUCAAA